rnacentral:rRNA from 1 species
GGCCUACCAUGGUGGUAACGGGUAACGGGGUGUUAGGGCACGACACCGGAGAGGGAGCCUGAGAAACGGCUACCACAUCCAAGGAUGGCAGCAGGCGCGCAAAUUACCCAAUCCCGACACGGGGAGGUAGUGACAAUAAAUAACAAUACGGGGUUCUUUCGGAUCUCGUAAUUGGAAUGAGUACAAUUUAAAUCUCUUAACGAGGAACAAUUGGAGGGCAAGUCUGGUGCCAGCAGCCGCGGUAAUUCCAGCUCCAAUAGCGUAUAUUAAAGUUGUUGCAGUUAAAAAGCUCGUAGUUGAAUUUCGGGAUCAGAUUGUUGGUCGUGCCUCGGUACGCACUGGCAUUAUUGGUUCCUACCUUCUGAAGAACCGCGAUGUCAUUAAUUUGGUGUCGUGGGGAAUCAGGACUGUUACUUUGAAAAAAUUAGAGUGUUUAAAGCAGGCGCACGCUUGAAUACAUUAGCAUGGAAUAAUGAAAUAGGACGUUUGAUUCUAUUUCGUUGGUUUCUAGGAUCGACGUAAUGAUUAAUAAGGAUAGUUGGGGGCAUUAGUAUUCAAUUGUCAGAGGUGAAAUUCUUGGAUUUAUUGAAGACUAACUACUGCGAAAGCAUUUGCCAAGGAUGUUUUCAUUAAUCAAGAACGAAAGUUAGGGGAUCGAAGACGAUCAGAUACCGUCGUAGUCUUAACCAUAAACUAUGCCGACUAGGGAUCGGAUGAUGUUAAUUUUUUAAUGACUCAUUCGGCGCCUUACG